rnacentral:rRNA from 1 species
GAUGAACGCUAGCGACAGGCCUAACACAUGCAAGUCGAGGGGCAGCACAUGCGUAGCAAUACAAUGGUGGCGACCGGCGCACGGGUGAGUAACACGUAUGCAACCUACCUGUAAGAGGGGAAUAACCCGGAGAAAUUCGGACUAACACCGCAUAAUACCUCGAAGCUGCAUGGCUUUGAGGUUACAUAUUUAUAGCUUACAGAUGGGCAUGCGUAACAUUAGAUAGUGGGUGAGGUAACGGCUCACCAAGUCAACGAUGUUUAGGGGUUCUGAGAGGAAGGUCCCCCACACUGGUACUGAGACACGGACCAGACUCCUACGGGAGGCAGCAGUGAUGAAUAUUGGUCAAUGGGCGAGAGCCUGAACCAGCCAAGUCGCGUGAAGGAAGAAGGUUCUAUGGAUUGUAAACUUCUUUUGUAAGGGAAUAAAAAAGCUUACGUGUAGGCUAUUGUAUGUACUUUACGAAUAAGGAUCGGCUAACUCCGUGCCAGCAGCCGCCGUAAGAC